GUACCAUCGCUCUUUGCUUCAGCUUCACACGGGAGACAAGUCACAGUUGACUCCUUAAUUUGAUCUUGCUUUUUCAGAAAGAGGGAGCUGUGAUCUGAAAAGAGAGAGCUUUUUUAUCCGUGUGAGGAAAAUGGGCCAAAACAGUAUAUGGGUUUUUUUAAAGCAAAGCUUAAAAGCGAAGAAGAAGGCUGGAAGUCUGUUUGCUCUCACCCAGAUGCCAAUUGAAAAGCCGCUGUAAAGCUCUUAAGACUGGAGCCCUGGAGAACUGGAGCUGCCCAUCACUGUUACAGAGAACUGAAGGUUGUUUAUGUGAGCAAACCCAAGAUUUUAACCACAACCCCAGGCGCAACACACACUAUCCGAUCCAUCCAUCCCAGAAAUGCACUACGCCUGCUGUGUCCACAAGACCUGUCUCCAUCUGUAGUAGAUUUGGGGGGAAUGCUAUUGAACGGCCAAUAGAAGUGACUUCAUGAUAACAGCUCUCACUCAGAUGCCAAUUGAAAAGCCGCUGUAAAGCUCUUAAGACUGGAGCCCUGGAGAACUGGAGCUGCCCAUCGCUGUUACAGAGAAUUGGAGACGGCACCUCUGUAGCGCGUGGGAAGGAUGAUGAAGAGCAGACAUGCUCCUUUGAUCUGCCCGCCCCCCAGCCCCACAGUGACUAACAGGAGAGCGAAUGCACGUCACCACAAGCCCAGAGAGGCCUGACAAGCCACAGGAGUCUCUGUCUACUUGAAAGCCAACAAAAGAGUAUUCCCCCACCUCGCCCAGGUCAGUUGUGUGACUGAACUUGUGGUUUGGCCUGAACUCGUGACAUCUGGACCGCAGAGCUCAGCCUGCAUUCCAGGCAAGAGAAGAACUGGGCUGUGUGGCUGGAUCAUACGGACCCCUUCUCUGUCAUUGGAUUGGAAAAGCCAGAUGAUGAUGGGAAGCAUAUGGUAGUAAUAGUAUGGAAAGACAUGAUAUGACUAAAGGAAGCCCAUUUAGCUUAAGCUCAAGCCCUUUCCCAGGCCUCUUCCCAAGAUAAUACAAAAUGUUAAAGGACACUUCAUUUCAGACAGAAACUGCCUCUGAAGGGCACUGACUCAAAGAGUAAAGCAUGGGUCCACUAAGCAGACAUCUAAAACAGCACAAUUAAUGAAAGAAAUGUUAAAUAGUAAUUAAAGCUGUUUUCCACAUAUCUAAGGGAAAUUCCAAUUGGGAAAACUGCACUAAUUCUGAUCUCAGGCUGGACCCUUUCAAUUGCCCCUUGCUUUGCAGAGGAUUAUGGAUAGGAGCUAGUGCUGAUGUACCACCCAGUUAGAAAUGGAAAAAAAAAAUACGCCAACAUGACAAUUGGCUUUUUUUUGGCAACGGGGGAGGGGGUGGGGGGACUGUGAUUGCGCCUGACAGAGCAUGAGCAUGAGAAACAUCCCCGCCUUCCCCGAUACGCAGGAUAUCAGUUCAGUAGGUCAAUAAUUGUGCAGUUGAGCAUGAAGAAGCAGAUGUGAGAUGGUCGUCCAUGGAUCUCCCUCUGACUACACUGCUUCCCAGUCCGCUAGCCAGGCUGUUCCUCGCCCCAUUGCUCGCAUUAUUCCCAGAAGCAACUCGCACUUCACAAGGCGCUGGAUUAAGAGCAACUGCCCCCAGCUGCCCCAGAACUCUCACUUGUACUUCAGUCCCCAUUACAAAACAAAAAAUGCUCAUGUUGUCCUUGCUUUAGGUGUUACAAACAGCUUCCAAGACCUAGAGAAUUAAUUACCAAUGAUCAGUGCUGCCAUGUGCUAUAUCCUUUGUAAGAAAAAUAUUUGUGGUAAAGGCCGUUGAAACUUUAUGAUAAAAAUAGAAAGAAAACUGCAUUUUUCCUCUAAAAUUCAUAUACAUGUUAGAUCUUAGAAGGGAGUUAUAUGGACUAUAUUACACUGGUCCCUACAUUCCCUGCUGGAAAAUCAGUGGGCAAAUUGCCCAUUUGAAAUUAAUUACAUGAGAAUUUGCUCUCUGAUUGCCAGCAGGGAAAAUUGGGCCCUUCAGCUUUUAUUUUGUUAUGUAUUAGAGAAAUAAUCUACACUUACUGGGGUGUUGAUGAUGUGAAGUGGCAAUGUUCUUAACGUGACACUGAUGCUGCAUCAGUGUAAUUACAAGAACAGGGUACUGGUGAAGUUAUUUCAUGUAUGCAGGUGAUAAUAAGACCCAAACUGUUAACAAAUACAUUAACAGAACUGUGUCGUCAAAGUGGGUCACAGCAAGCACACUCCAGUUGAAGUCUUUGCUACCAGGGGGUGUGUCCAUGGAGAGCGGAGAGUCAUACACUCAGAGGCUGAAAGAACUCAAUCUUUUUAGUCUGGAAGAGGCAAGACUACGAGGGGACCUUAAACAGCUUGGCAGUCAACCCAGUGGACUUGUUCACAAUCAGCAGGGAAACAUGAACCAGAGGACA